AAUAAUUUGAUCAAAAUUUCAAGUUAUAAUUUGAGAAUUUAUACUUAGCGAAAAGAAAUUGAACUUUUCUAAUACAUUUUUUUUACGUGUCGAUUACUUGUCAACAAGAAAACUUAUUCUGCAAAAUAAAUCUAUACUAUAGAAAAGUCAAAGCUAUAAGCUUCUUAGACUGUUCACGUGGGAUUUGUAACCACCAAUCUACUUAGCUUUUCGAGGGAUUGAAGAGUACAUCCCGAACAAUAAUGGGAUCAGCUAUGUCGUACGGAUGGGUACAAUAAUCGACUGAUGAGCGAGAAGAAUUCUUCUCAUCAGAAGGUGAGUUAGAUCUCUCGGUCGAGGAAUCAAGAUUUUUCAACGGGGAAGAAGGGUUCAUAAUUAUAGAAAUAAUUGAGAAGAAGAGGAAGAAAUUUUGUUCGUAAAGAGAGAGUAAGAUCAAGAUAAAAGCUAAAACAGAGAAAAUAAGAAGCGUUUAUACCUUCUACAAAUUUGUGGUUGAGGAUGAAACUGCCUCAGAGUCGUGUGAGGAGUGGAAGAAUUUUUUCCGCUUUAAUAAUAAAUAAAGGAAUCAAGUCAUAAAUGUGACAUGCGUCAUGCGUUUAAACAUGGAAAGUCCUGAAAUUAAGGGAAAUGAUGGUUCAAAAGGCAGAAAAUUAAAGAUCAUGUUGCACAAUCUUCAUAACUAAAGAAAGCAAGUCCCCCGAACUGGUUCGUCAGGUCAGAGGACUUGGGGGGCUAAUUAUUGAUGUCGGAUCCGGAACCCAAAGUUUUUGGAUCCACUCGAAGAUUACCACAUAAGCGUAAAAUCAACAAGAGUGCGAGUCAACGAAAAAUAAAUGCCGAACUGAGAUAAAGCUCCAACUCUACGAAGUGAGGAGUUUGGUAAAGGGAGCAACAUCUCGAAAUAAGAUAAUGGGCCAAGCUUCGAGGAAUCCACAAAACAAAUAAAAACAUUCAGAGAAAGACUUUAAAGUAUUAAAGUUGAGAAUCAAAACAGAUACAUUCCAGAAAAUUAAUUGUACCAGUGAUCAAUAAAUAUAAAUCAUAUUGUAUAAAUAUGGGGUUCACAAGUACAUAAGGGACAAAUGCAUUCUAAUUUACAAGGCUAAUACUAUGUUAUUUUCUAUUCUUACUUAUAUUUACUCGUAACUUUGCUUAUCGAAUAU
rnacentral:sRNA from 1 species